rnacentral:rRNA from 1 species
GUGAACGCUGGCGGUAGGCCUAACACAUGCAAGUCGAACGGCAGCACAGUAAGAGCUUGCUCUUACGGGUGGCGAGUGGCGGACGGGUGAGGAAUAUAUCGGAAUCUACUUUUUCGUGGGGGAUAACGUAGGGAAACUUACGCUAAUACCGCAUACGACCUACGGGUGAAAGCAGGGGAUCUUCGGACCUUGCGCGAUUGAAUGAGCCGAUGUCGGAUUAGCUAGUUGGCGGGGUAAAGGCCCACCAAGGCGACGAUCCGUAGCUGGUCUGAGAGGAUGAUCAGCCACACUGGAACUGAGACACGGUCCAGACUCCUACGGGAGGCAGCAGUGGGGAAUAUUGGACAAUGGGCGCAAGCCUGAUCCAGCCAUAUCGCGUGGGUGAAGAAGGCCUUCGGGUUGUAAAGCCCUUUUGUUGGGAAAGAAAAGCAGCAGGUUAAUACCCCGCUGUUCUGACGGUACCCAAAGAAUAAGCACCGGCUAACUUCGUG